UACAGAGGUGCGAGCGUUGUUCGGAAUUACUGGGCGUAAAGCGCGCGCAGGCGGCCCUUUAAGUCUGACCCGUAGAAAUGACCUGGAGCCUCAACUCCGUGCACGGCCGGGGGAUACUGGAGGCGUGGAGACGAGUAGAGGCAAACGGAAUUCCGGGUGUAGCGGUGAAAUGCGUAGAUAUCUGGAGGAACACCCGUGCGAAGGCGGCUCUCUGGUCCGAAACUGACGCUGAGGUGGCGAAAGCUAGGGUACGCAAACAGG
rnacentral:rRNA from 1 species